UUCUAAAGAGACUCUAACCUGUCCCCGCACUGGAUCUCCCACCCUCGCGGAGGAGCGGAGACAGCGGUGCGUGCGGACCUCGCUUCCUGUUUGAUUAACUCACGCGCCCGCCUCCUUCUUUCUCCGAGGAGCCGGGGAGCAACCGCAGCGCAGCCCCGAGAGGGGGCGAGCGGAACCCAGCCGGGCUAGCCCGACCGCGGCGCGCGUGGCUGCGCCGCCGGCUCCUCGGCGGCACCUCGCCGGCCCGCGGCGUCCAGGGAAGGGCCGCAGGACGAAUGUUGCCCGGGAAACGCGGAGCGUCCCAGGUCGGUUCCGAAGUGUUCCUCAGAAAAAAAUGUGCAUAGGCAACGAGUUUCUUGAUAAAAAGUUUCUUCAUCAAAACUACACAGAGGACUUAUGCUUCCAGAUUUCCAUUAGACAUUAGGGAUUUCUUUGAAGAACAGAAAGCAAACAUCACUUG